UAAGACCUACCUACCUGAAAAUUUCAUGAUUCUAGGUCAAUAGGAAGUACCCUCUAGGUUUUUUUUGACAGACACGACGGACCGAC